UACGAAGGGUGCUAGCGUUGUUCGGAAUUACUGGGCGUAAAGCGCACGUAGGCGGACUAUUAAGUCUGGGGUGAAAUCCCGGGGCUCAACCCCGGAACUGCCUUUGAUACUGGUAGUCUCGAGUCCGGAAGAGGUGAGUGGAAUUCCGAGUGUAGAGGUGAAAUUCGUAGAUAUUCGGAGGAACACCAGUGGCGAAGGCGGCUCACUGGUCCGGUACUGACGCUGAGGUGCGAAAGCGUGGGGAGCAAACAGG
rnacentral:rRNA from 1 species